rnacentral:rRNA from 1 species
GGUUCAGGACGAACGCUGGCGGCGUGCCUAACACAUGCAAGUCGAGCGGGGACAUGCGACGGAAGCGAAGUUUCGGAUGGAGCGGAAGAUGCAUGUUCUAGCGGCGGACGGGUGAGUAACGCGUGAGCAACCUGUCCCUUACAGGGGGAUAACACAGCGAAAGUUGUACUAAUACCGCAUAAGACCACGGGAGGACAUCCUACAGGGGUCAAAGGAGUAAUCCGGUAAGGGGUGGGCUCGCGUCCGAUUAGAUAGUUGGUGAGGUAACGGCCCACCAAGUCGACGAUCGGUAGCCGACCUGAGAGGGUGAUCGGCCACAUUGGGACUGAGACACGGCCCAAACUCCUACGGGAGGCAGCAGGUGGGGAAUAUUGGGCAAUGGGGGGAACCCUGACCCAGCAACGCCGCGUGAGGGAAGAAGGUUUUCGGAUCGUAAACCUCUGUCCUUGGUGAAGAGAGAGAGACGGUAGCCAAGGAGGAAGCCCCGGCUAACUACGUGCCAGCCGCCGC